GACGAACGCUGGCGGCGUGCUUAACACAUGCAAGUCGAACGGAAAGGCCCUGCUUUUGUGGGGUGCUCGAGUGGCGAACGGGUGAGUAACACGUGAGUAACCUGCCCUUGACUUUGGGAUAACUUCAGGAAACUGGGGCUAAUACCGGAUAGGAGCUCCUGCUGCAUGGUGGGGGUUGGAAAGUUUCGGCGGUUGGGGAUGGACUCGCGGCUUAUCAGCUUGUUGGUGGGGUAGUGGCUUACCAAGGCUUUGACGGGUAGCCGGCCUGAGAGGGUGACCGGCCACAUUGGGACUGAGAUACGGCCCAGACUCCUACGGGAGGCAGCAGUGGGGAAUAUUGCACAAUGGGCGGAAGCCUAAUGCAGCAACGCCGCGUGCGGGAUGACGGCCUUCGGGUUGUAAACCGCUUUCGCCUGUGACGAAGCGUGAGUGACGGUAAUGGGUAAAGAAGCACCGGCUAACUACGU
rnacentral:rRNA from 1 species